UGAGGAAUAUUGGUCAAUGGGCGAGAGCCUGAACCAGCCAAGUAGCGUGCAGGAUGACGGCCCUCCGGGUUGUAAACUGCUUUUAGUUGGGAAUAAAAAAAGGGACUUGUCCCUUCUUGUAUGUACCUUCAGAAAAAGGACCGGCUAAUUCCGUGCCAGCAGCCGCGGUAAUACGGAAGGUCCAGGCGUUAUCCGGAUUUAUUGGGUUUAAAGGGAGCGUAGGCGGAUUGUUAAGUCAGCGGUUAAAGGGUGUGGCUCAACCAUGCAUUGCCGUUGAAACUGGCGAUCUUGAGUGCAGACAGGGAUGCCGGAAUUCGUGGUGUAGCGGUGAAAUGCUUAGAUAUCACGAAGAACUCCGAUCGCGAAGGCAGGUGUCCGGGCUGCAACUGACGCUGAGGCUCGAAAGUGUGGGUAUCAAACAGGAUUAGAUACCCUGGUAGUCCACACAGUAAACGAUGUAUACUCGCGGUUUGCGAUAGACAGUAAGCCGCCNAGCGAAAGCAUUAAGUAUACCACCUGGGGAGUACGCCGGCNACGGU
rnacentral:rRNA from 1 species